AAUGAACGUUGGCGGCGUGGAUUAGGCAUGCAAGUCGAACGGACCGUGGUAGCAAUAUUACGGUUAGUGGCGCAAGGGAGAGUAAUACGUAGGUAUUUACCCUGGGGUCUGGGAUAGCGGCGGGAAACUGCCGGUAAUACCAGAUGAUAUCUCCGGAUCAAAGGUGUGAUUCCGCCCUAGGAGAAGCCUGCGGUCUAUCAGCUAGUUGGUAGGGUAACGGCCUACCAAGGCAAAGACGGAUAUGGGGCGUGAGAGCGUGCCCCCACUCACUGGGACUGAGACACUGCCCAGACACCUACGGGUGGCUGCAGUCGAGAAUCUUCGGCAAUGGGCGCAAGCCUGACCGAGCGACGCCGCGUGCGGGAUGAAGGCCUUCGGGUUGUAAACCGCUGUCGAAGGGGAGGAAAUUGUAGUGGGUUCACCCAUUAUAUUGACCGAUCCUUGGAGGAAGGGCCGGCUAAUCUCGUGCCAGCAGCCGCCGUAACAC
rnacentral:rRNA from 1 species